CCUACGGGAGGCAGCAGUGGGGAAUAUUGGACAAUGGGGGCAACCCUGAUCCAGCCAUGCCGCGUGUGUGAAGAAGGCUUUCGGGUUGUAAAGCACUUUCAGUGGGGAAGAAGGCCUGAGGGUUAAUAACCCUGAGGGAGGACAUCACCCACAGAAGAAGCACCGGCUAACUCCGUGCCAGCAGCCGCGGUAAUACGGAGGGUGCGAGCGUUAAUCGGAAUUACUGGGCGUAAAGCGCGCGUAGGUGGCUUGAUAAGCCGGUUGUGAAAGCCCCGGGCUCAACCUGGGAACGGCAUCCGGAACUGUCAGGCUAGAGUGCAGGAGAGGAAGGUAGAAUUCCCGGUGUAGCGGUGAAAUGCGUAGAGAUCGGGAGGAAUACCAGUGGCGGAGGCGGCCUUCUGGACUGACACUGACACUGAGGUGCGAAAGCGUGGGUAGCAAACAGGAUUAGAUACCCUGGUAGUCCACGCCGUAAACGAUGUCGACCAGCCGUUGGGUUCCUCGAGGACUUAGUGGCGCAGUUAACGCGAUAAGUCGACCGCCUGGGGAGUACGGCCGCAAGGUUAAAACUCAAAUGAAUUGACGGGGGCCCGCACAAGCGGUGGAGCAUGUGGUUUAAUUCGAUGCAACGCGAAGAACCUUAC
rnacentral:rRNA from 1 species